UACAGAGGUCUCAAGCGUUGUUCGGAUUCAUUGGGCGUAAAGGGUGCGUAGGCGGCGCGGUAAGUCGGGUGUGAAAUCUUGGAGCUUAACUCCGAAACUGCAUUCGAUACUGCCGUGCUUGAGGACUGGAGAGGAGACUGGAAUUUACGGUGUAGCAGUGAAAUGCGUAGAUAUCGUAAGGAAGACCAGUGGCGAAGGCGGGUCUCUGGACAGUUCCUGACGCUGAGGCGCGAAGGCCAGGGGAGCAAACGGG
rnacentral:rRNA from 1 species